rnacentral:rRNA from 1 species
AUUGAACGCUGGCGGCAGGCCUAACACAUGCAAGUCGAGCGGAUGAAGGUAGCUUGCUAUCUGAUUCAGCGGCGGACGGGUGAGUAAUGCCUAGGAAUCUGCCUGGUAGUGGGGGACAACGUUUCGAAAGGAACGCUAAUACCGCAUACGUCCUACGGGAGAAGGUGGGGGAUCUUCGGACCUCACGCUAUCAGAUGAGCCUAGGUACGAUUAGCUAGUUGGUGAGGUAAAGGCUCACCAAGGCGACGAUCGUUAACUGGUCUGAGAGGAUGAUCAGUCACACUGGAACUGAGACACGGUCCAGACUCCUACGGGAGGCAGCAGUGGGGAAUAUUGGACAAUGGGCGAAAGCCUGAUCCAGCCAUGCCGCGUGUGUGAAGAAGGUCUUCGGAUUGUAAAGCACUUUAAGUUGGGAGGAAGGGCAGUAAGUUAAUACCUUGCUGUUUUGACGUUACCAACAGAAUAAGCACCGGCUAACUUCGUGCCAGCAGCCGCGGUAACAC